AAACUGUGAAAGUAAAAAAUUGGGAAGUUUGAUGUCAGGAAAAUUAUGAUAUGAAUAAACACUAAAUGAACCAUUUUGCAGCAGCUAGCAAUCCUUAGCUGUUUUAGUCAAUAUUGUUAUGAACAAACACUAAAUGAACCAUUUUACAAUAUAUGAUUCAUUGGAGUUAAUUCAUGAAGUGUAGACCUUCAGAAGAUGGGUGAAGAUGAGUUAUUAGACUCAAGCAAAGAGACAAA
rnacentral:misc_RNA from 1 species